rnacentral:lncRNA from 1 species
AACCACUAUUCAAACAACACUUUCGAAAUGGCAACUGGCUGUGGCAGGCUCCGAUUCACUGUGCUUUAGUCAUGACUGUUGCUUCACGCUUGUGGAGUGCCCUGAAGCCUGAAUGCAGUCAGUCAGCUCUAGAGGGGAAUGCCACCUGCAGAAAGGAUGAGAACCAUCUGCAUCAUGGGGCCUGGGGGCCAUGGACCACUGUCUGA